rnacentral:lncRNA from 1 species
AUACUAGGACAAUUGCACAGAAAUGGAGACUUCAAUUUUCACCCAAAAUGCAGGAAACUAAACUGUACACAUGUCUGCUUUGCUGAUGACUUACUGAUGUUUUGUAGAGCUGACCUGGUGUCUGUCCAAAUCUUAAAGGAAGCUUUCCUCAAGUUCUCCAAUGCCUCAGGUCUGCAAGCUAAUCUGUCAAAAAGUGCAUUGUAUAUAGCUGGAGUAAAUCAGGAUGCCAAGGCACAGAUUCUGGAAGCAUUGGGAUUCACUGAAGGCAAAUUUCCCUUCAGGUAUCUGGGGAUUCCCCUUGACUCCAAAAAACUGUCUGUUGGCCACUACUUACCAAUAAUUGAGAAGAUCACAGCUAAAGUAACAUGCUGGUCUGCCAAGCUGCUUUCCUAUGGUGGAAGAUGUCAACUGAUUAAAUCUGUCAUAUUUGGCAUUCAAACCUACUGGGCUCAAGUGUUCAUCCUGCCUAAGAAAGUAUUGAAAGCCAUUGAAACUAUAUGCAGAACCUUUCUUUAGACUGGGAGUGUAAAGCUGUCCAGAAAGACCUUAGUGGCAUGGGACAGUGUUUGUAGACCUAUCUCUGCUGAUGGACUAAAUAUUAUAGAUAUGACAGUAUGGAAUAAGGCAGCAAUCAGCAAGCACCUCUGGAACUUGGCUAAAAAGAAGGACUGCUUGUGGAUUAGAUGGGUGCACAGCUACUACAUCAAGCAGAGGGACAUAGAAACAAUGCCCUUACCUAAGGCAGCUUCUUGGGUUGUAAGGAAGAUACUGGACAGAAGGGAUGACCUAAUGGGAACUCAACUGAUACAAGGUAGCAUGUUCGGUAGAUUGCAAGGCUUCUGCAGACUGGAUCAGUUCCUUAUCCAGAAAUUAUACUUGGCAUUGAUUCCUACUUACAGGAAGGUUGCUUGGAAGAAUCUGGUUUUACUUGCUCAUGCUCAACCAAGAUAUAGGUUUACUGUCUGCUGAUGUUUUGUAGAGCUGACCUGGUGUUUGUCCAAAUCUUAAAGGAAGCUUCCCUCAAGUUCUCCAAUGCAUCAGGUCUGCAAGCUAACCUGUCAAAAAGUGCAUUGUAUAUAGCUGGAGUAAAUCAGGAUGCCAAGGCACAGAUUCUGGAAGCAUUGGGAUUCACUGAAGGCAAAUUUCCCUUCAGGUAUCUGGGGAUUCCCCUUGACUCCAAAAAUUGUCUGUUGGCCACUACUUACAAAUAAUUGAGAAGAUCACAGCUAAAGUAACAUGCUGGUCUGCCAAGCUGCUUUCCUAUGCUGGAAGAUGUCAACUGAUUAAAUCUGUCAUAUUUGGCAUUCAAACCUACUGGGCUCAAGUGUUCAUCCUGCCUAAGAAAGUAUUGAAAGCCAUUGAAACUAUAUGCAGAACCUUUCUUUGGACUAGGAGUGUAAAGCUGUCUAGAAAGGCCUUAGAGGCAUGGGACAGUGUUUGUAGACCUAUCUCUGCUGGUGGAUAUGACAAUAUGGAAUAAGGCAGCAAUCAGCAAGCACCUCUGGAACUUGGCUAAAAAGAAGGACUGCUUGUGGAUUAGAUGGGUGCACUGCUACUACAUCAAGCAGA